UACGUAGGGGGCUAGCGUUGCUCGGAAUCACUGGGCGUAAAGCGCACGUAGGCGGCUUCUUAAGUCAGGGGUGAAAUCCUGGAGCUCAACUCCAGAACUGCCUUUGAUACUGAGAGCUUGAGUCCGGGAGAGGUGAGUGGAACUGCGAGUGUAGAGGUGAAAUUCGUAGAUAUUCGCAAGAACACCAGUGGCGAAGGCGGCUCACUGGCCCGGUACUGACGCUGAGGUGCGAAAGCGUGGGGAGCA
rnacentral:rRNA from 1 species